GCCCGGUUAGCUCAAUCGGUAGAGCGUGAGACUCUUAAUCUCAAGGUUGCGGGUGAGUGCCAAAUUCGAAAAAAAAUAUUAUCCAAGCCUCGUCAUACUAAACUUCUCCGUCACAGGUUCGACCCCCGCAUCGGGCU